CGGGCUAUAGCACAGUGGUAGUGUGCACGCAUGGGGUGCGUGUGGCGGCAGUUCGAUUCUGCCUAGCCCGA
rnacentral:tRNA from 1 species